ACAACUUUCAGCAACGGAUCUCUUGGCUCUCGCAUCGAUGAAGAACGCAGCGAAAUGCGAUAAGUAAUGUGAAUUGCAGAAUUCAGUGAAUCAUCGAAUCUUUGAACGCACCUUGCACUCCUUGGUAUUCCGAGGAGUAUGCCUGUUUGAGCGUCAU
rnacentral:rRNA from 1 species